AUACCGGAUAGAGCAUUGAUAGCUGGAAUGCACGAUGCUCGAAAGCUGAGGCGCCAAAGGGUAGGUCUGCGGCCGAUUAGGUUGUUGUUGAUGUAAUGGAUCAACAAGCCUCCGAUCGGUAUGGGUUGUGAGAGCAAUAUCCCAGAGAUGGGUUCUGAGAGAAGAACCCAGGUCCUACGGGACGCAUCAGGCGCGAAAACUUUACAAUGUGCGAAAGCACGAUAAGGGAACUCUGAGUGCCUCCAAAGGAGGCUGUUCAGGUGUCUAAAAAGCAUCUGAAGUAAGGGCUGGGCAAGACCGGUGCCAGCCGCCGCGGUAACACCGGCAGCCCAAGUGGUGGCCACUUUUACUGGGUCUAAAGCGUUCGUAGCCGGCCAUGUAAGUUCCUUGGGAAAUUUGACCGCUUAACGGUUAAGCUUCCAGGGAAUACUGCUUGGCUUGGGACCGGGAGAGGUCAGAGGUACCUCAAGGGUAGGGGUGAAAUCCGUUAAUCCUUGGGGGACCGCCAGUAGCGAAGGCGUCUGACCAGACCGGAUCCGACGGUGAGGGACGAAGGCUAGGGUAGCGAACCGGAUUAGAUACCCGGGUAGUCCUAGCUGUAAACGAUGCGGGCU
rnacentral:rRNA from 1 species